UACGGAGGGAGCUAGCGUUGUUCGGAAUUACUGGGCGUAAAGCGCGCGUAGGCGGCUUUGUAAGUUAGAGGUGAAAGCCCGGGGCUCAACCCCGGAACUGCCUUUAAGACUGCAUCGCUUGAAUCCAGGAGAGGUGAGUGGAAUUCCGAGUGUAGAGGUGAAAUUCGUAGAUAUUCGGAAGAACACCAGUGGCGAAGGCGGCUCACUGGACUGGUAUUGACGCUGAUGUGCGAAAGCGUGGGGAGCAAACAGGAUUAGAAACCCUUGAUAC
rnacentral:rRNA from 1 species